GCGCUGCCAUCGUGAACUGACGGUCUUCUCGGGCAACGGAAAUAGUGUUGAGCACAUCGUUCUUGUUCAUUACAUAGACGUUUAAGAGGUGGUAUGGCAGACAGGAUAUCUAAUGAUCCAUCGACACCAACACAUUCACCGGCUAAGACACCAAUGGUGCCCACACGAUCUUCCCCACGCACGAAGACGGUGAAAUCCAUGGCUGAGCCUGUGUCCCGAGCCUCAAAAAUAAAAUGGACUCUUGAUAUGGAUCAGGUUAUGAUCAACAUAUUUCUGAAACAAGUGACAUUGGGACGCAAGGACGAUAAUGGUUUCAAACGUGAGGCGUACCAAAUUACUGCCGACGCCGUU